GUGUCUGCGUGUAAUCUCGCGUGUCUGGAUGCAGAAAGUUCUCUCUCAUCCUAAAUGUACAGCAGCCGUUCGACAAACAUCAUUUAGUAAAGAUGAAAGUGUUUUACUUUGUGUUUGCGAUGAUGGUACUAUAUGAAGAUGGGAUCGAUCUCCUUGAACAAUAAAAAAGUUCUUCGAAUAUUUGCGUUCAGUAUAUGCUGUGGUGAGAAUUUGGUAGAAAGAUGUUUCGAUGUCGAGGCUGUAGAAAAAUGGCGAAAUCGUGAAUGGAAUGAGACAAGAAGAUGAAGAAAGUUACCAACAAGGUGAAAGUUGUGUUGAAGUAGAACAAACAAAGUAUAGUGGAUUCAGAAGAUUUUCUCCUUUAAAAUUUAACAAAUAAAAAGUUU